CGCACAUUGCGCCCUUUGGCAUUCCGAAGGGCAUGCCCGUUCGAGCGUCAUUAAAUCCACUCAAGCCUAGCUUGGUAUUGGGCACCGGGGACUCCCCGCGCCUCCAUUUCGCCGGCUGGCCGUCGUUUGACUUAGCGUUGUGACACAUGUCGCUGACGAUGAAGACGGACUACGCCGUGAGAACUCUCUUGAACAUCACCCGAUAUUCAGUAAAGGUUGACCUCGGAUCGGGUAGGAAUACCCGCUGAACUUAA
rnacentral:misc_RNA from 1 species